UUUUAAUGAGUUUAAUUUAUUUACGUAUUAUGUAUUACUCCUGGGAAUCAUUCUAUAGAUCAUUAAUAUCGUAAUAUUCUGUGAUUUGCUUAUGAAUUCUAAUAAAAUAUUAUUUGCUCGCUGUAAUUUUAGUUUCGUCCACUUUCAGCGAAAAAUUUUUUUUUGGUUAAAACUUAACGAAACUUCGGUAUCAGAUUCAAUGUUAGACUUUGGCACCUUGUUUGUGUUAUAUAUUUGUUUUUAAAUAAUAAUGAUGUUAAAUUUUAUAUAAUUACAUACGUAGAUGAUUGUUAAAAUUAAAGCAAUUAUGAAGUAAUCAUUUAAGUAGCUCAACAAGUAAACAAAAGUAUAAAAACUGCGUCGACUAAAAUUACUACGCUUAAAAACUAUUUGGUUACGUUUUAUAUGUUUUUGUUUUAUACA